rnacentral:rRNA from 1 species
UACGUAGGAGGCGAGCGUUGUCCGGAUUUACUGGGCGUAAAGCGCACGUAGGCGGCUUUCUAAGUCGGGGGUGAAAUCCUGGAGCUCAACUCCAGAACUGCCUUCGAUACUGGAGAGCUCGAGUCCGGGAGAGGUGAGUGGAACUGCGAGUGUAGAGGUGAAAUUCGUAGAUAUUCGCAAGAACACCAGUGGUGAAGGCGGCUCACUGGCCCGGUACUGACGCUGAGGUGCGAAAGCGUGGGGAACAAACAGG